ACGAUUUUACAACACAUACACAAAUACAUCUAUUUAAUCUACCAAAUACAAAUAAUAAAUAAAUAAAUAAAGACAUAAAUAACGACAGCCAAAUUAUUCUAAGCUAUAUUUUGUACAAUUGAUUGAGUGUUGCCUUUCUAAGUUAUAUUUUGUACAACUAAUUGAGUGUUUGCUUUCCCUUUCUAAAUUGAACCGUGCACUCCUUCUUCACUGUUAGAACAUUCAAACACAACCGUAAAAUUUACAUAAACAAUGAUAUUUCUAUACAAGUAUGGUAUUGUGUACUGAUAAUCAUCGAUCCAAUCUCAAAAAUGGACUAAGAACAUCAAACCCAUUUCCCCUAUUGGUGUCUAUCAAAAAACUCAAAAUCAAAACAACCUUGAAUAUCUUUUGUUAGUGUUCUUUAUUCUUCUUUGAUUUUUAGCCAGGAACCAAAACCAAACACCCUAGAUAUCCUUGUGUUGAUCUAUCUUCUUUCCCUGCAAUCAAAGGCAAAACCCAAACACAAAUUUCAUCCAUCGAUUUAUGCCAAACAAUCAAACCCAAACACAAACUCAAUUCUAUCCAUUUUCUGUCAAAAAUUAAAUCCCAAACACCCACUUAGAUUCUGUUCAUUACUGUGAAGCAAUCAAAAAAAAAAAAAAAAAACGACGAAGACCGAAGGAGUUGCAGAAGUAGCCCCAUCCAUUACCUAAAAUCGCUGGAGACCAACGCCUCCUCACCAUCUGUUCCAUCGAUUGGACCAUUAUCCCUUCGAGUUCACCUCAUAGGUAGUUUUCCUUGCAUUCCCCGUUCACCCUUAGACCGAGCAACGACGCCAACACCCCGCCUUCGUCACUGCUGCUGCUGGCGAUACCUGACCCUUCGCUGCUUCUCCCCUUCGGCCGUCGAACCCCGGAGACAAUAAUCCAUCUCGCGAUUGAUCACUGAAAACACGCCUGCUUCAGUGCUACUUCUGCUUGAGACUCCCGGACUUCACGCCUCGCAGCGGGACAAGAAGAGGGAAGCUACGUUGCUUCGGCCUCACCAAUCCCGGAGACGACGACCUCCCUCGUCUUUCGAUUGGAGAAUGUCGCCUGUUCAUGACCGCUUCUUGUUUUCCUUCGAUCGGCUGUUCUUUUUUUCUUGACUUGAAGAAAACGGAGAUCCCUUUUUUCCCUAUUUCGAUUGAAUUAGCCUAAUCCAGCAGAUUAGUCCCACAUUUUUAUCAAAUAGUAAAACAAAAAACCCCUCUGUUGUGUUAAUAUUACAAUCAACCCUAACAAUCAUUUGACUUUGAUAAAGUAACAUAAUAACCCUUCAUUUGACAAAUACCUUACAAGAUCAACCCAGUCCUAAACCAUUGAAACCAUUUAUCCAAAACAACCCCUCCCCUGAAUUAUUUUAACCAAAUCAGACCUAUUUAAGUUAAUUAAAUUACCAAAUAACCCCUAAUAGUUUAUAUUUGUUACGAAAUGGUCCCGAGAGUAUUUCAAAGUUCAAGAAUUAUGGAUUUACGGUUUCUCACGUCAAGCUUCUCAAAGAAACCGAAUUCGAACGAUUGGAACUCACGCAACGAAUGUAAGUGCUUAAGACCCAUUUUAAAUAUUUUAAUUAUUUCGAUGGGGGAAAGGGGGGAUACAUGUGCCUAAUUAUUUUGUUUAUACAAACCAAUUACCUUUUUAUGCGAAAAUACAAUAGAAAUAGUUUAUAAAAAUAUUAUUAUUUAACAAUUUACAAUCUUGUUACGAAUAAACUAAUAUAAAUUUUUCGUAUACGUAUUAUGGUUAUUUUAUUGUGAAAUAACAAUUUCACACAACAAAUGCUACAUGAUACAAAAUUACAUGAUUUUUAUGUGACAUUGCAUAUUAUAACAAGUACGUCAUGAAACUUUGUAGUAUUUCAAGGAUUCAAGCUAUUAUUAAACAUGUUUAUUUAUAUAUUUAAAUACGCCAUGUUUAUACAUGUACAUAUGUUCAUUAAUUUGAAACACUCAUUUUUAUAAAAGCAAGGUCAUUACACUUUUACAUAUAUGUCAAACAUACUCGGCUUUUAUAAGCAUUAUACAACGAUAUUCAUUAUGCCUGGUGACUUAAUCACAAUUAAGUUAGGGCUGAGAGUUAUUCACAAACUUUUUAGUUAAGGGACUUUUAGUGAGAAGUUUUGUUAUUCAUUAACUGAGUUUAAAUACAUCGAAGCGAGAUACAUAUGUAUAGAUCAAUAUGGGGUUGACAUCCCCACCUGCAGUUGCUAGCUACAACUCUCGAUCGAUCAAUCGAAGCGGGUGAUAAGUGUCUGCAAUUUUUACUACAACGUCCAAUGAAGCAUUGUAAGGGGGUACACUCAAGUCAUAUAGCUUGGUUAUAGGACUCACUAAAAACAUUAACUAGAAUAUCAUUGUGUCUCACUAUAACCAUGGGCUUGGUUGCUUUCAAAACUAUUUUUAAGUAUGGAAUUACUUAUGUAACAUAACAAUUUGGUUUUCAAGGAUAUUUAAAGGUUUAUUACGAACACAGUUUAAAGUAUGGAUUUACUUAUACAAAAGAUACAUUUUUGCUUUAAAGGAUUUAUUACAAACAUAGUGUAAAGUAUGGAUUUACUUAUACAAAAAUACAUUUUGGGCUUUUUAAGACUCAUUGCAAACACUUUUUUAGCUAUUGUCAUACGUACAAAGAUAAUACUUUUUAGACUUAUUAAAAGUAUUACUGCUUUUAGCAAAAAACCUGUAACACUCACCAACCUUGUGUUGACCCUCAAAACUACAUGUAUUCACAGGAAAUUACUAAACAGACAUUCAAGACAUAUUAGAUUAUAGGUGACCUAGUUUACUUGAUGUUGUAUUAUAUGCCUAUCUAUUAGGGCAAUUCGUGUAUUAUUAUUUGUAAAAACCUUGUAUUCAAAUAUCAAGAUCGAACAUAAUUGCUAUUUUGUUUAUAUUUGUUCUUGUGCUAUAUAUUCGGUUUACUGGUGAUCCAUGAACUUAGUCGCACAGCCCGAUGCAUUUCGUCGUCUCGGUCGAGGGUGUGACAAAACAUUUCCAUAUUCCCAUAUUGUAGCACCCAAAGUUUUGAAGGCCAAGAAAGGGAAAGAAAACCCUAAGUUUAGGGGUCGACUCG
rnacentral:lncRNA from 1 species